rnacentral:rRNA from 1 species
GCUUGUCUCAAAGAUUAAGCCAUGCAUGUCUAAGUAUAAACAAAUUCAUACUGUGAAACUGCGAAUGGCUCAUUAAAUCAGUUAUAGUUUAUUUGAUGGUAUCUUGCUACAUGGAUACCUGUGGUAAUUCUAGAGCUAAUACAUGCUGAAAAGCCCCGACUUCUGGAAGGGGUGUAUUUAUUAGAUAAAAAACCUUCGAGCUUCGGCUCUUCUGGUGAUUCAUAAUAACUUCUCGAAUCGCAUGGCCUUGUGCCGGCGAUGCUUCAUUCAAAUAUCUGCCCUAUCAACUUUCGAUGGUAGAGUAGUGGUCUACCAUGGUAUCAACGGGUAACGGGGAAUUAGGGUUCGAUUCCGGAGAGGGAGCCUGAGAAACGGCUACCACAUCCAAGGAAGGCAGCAGGC